GGACUGCUAGCCGAGUAAUGGUCAUGCCUACGAUAUAAUGUGGGUGCAAAGAUUUUCUUGAAUCACGAAUAAUAUUAGUGAUUAUUUGAGGUAUCCAAAAGGAGUACAUCAAGAGCAGAAUUGGUCGCAGAAAAUUAUGGAACUCAUACAUGACCAGAAUGCCUCCCAAAAGGAUCCCAUAAAAACGACUAUAUAGAACUGAGAGCUCGCGCCUCAUUGUCUCCCAACCCUCACCACUAUUCAUAGGCCUGCUUGCUUUCC
rnacentral:misc_RNA from 1 species